rnacentral:lncRNA from 1 species
UUAAUUUCAUUUUUAAUCCAAAAAAUAUGGGACUUUCACAAAAAAUAUUUAAAUAUUUUUUUCUUCCAUAUUUUGAAUUAAAAUUAUUUUUUUGUAAUUUUGGUAUUUUUCAUUAAUUAAAUGUUUUAGUGUAUCUUUUUAAUUGUUUAAAAAUACUUCUAAAAAUUGUGAAUUUUUUUGUCUAAGGUCCUUUGACCUUGUUU